AUUCUUCAGGGCGGGGUGUGAUUCCCCACCGGCGGUAAAGCCCGCAAGCGUAAUGCUGAUCCGGUGAGAUUCCGGAGCCGACGGUAUAGUCCGGAUGAAAGAAGAAG
rnacentral:ncRNA from 1 species